rnacentral:rRNA from 1 species
CUUACACAUGCAAGUCGAGCGGGCGUAGCAAUACGUCAGCGGCAGACGGGUGAGUAACGCGUGGGAACGUACCUUUUGGUUCGGAACAACACAGGGAAACUUGUGCUAAUACCGGAUAAGCCCUUACGGGGAAAGAUUUAUCGCCGAAAGAUCGGCCCGCGUCUGAUUAGCUAGUUGGUAGGGUAAUGGCCUACCAAGGCGACGAUCAGUAGCUGGUCUGAGAGGAUGAUCAGCCACAUUGGGACUGAGACACGGCCCAAACUCCUACGGGAGGCAGCAGUGGGGAAUAUUGGACAAUGGGGGCAACCCUGAUCCAGCCAUGCCGCGUGAGUGAUGAAGGCCCUAGGGUUGUAAAGCUCUUUUGUGCGGGAAGAUAAUGACGGUACCGCAAGAAUAAGCCCCGGCUAACUUCGUGCCAGCAGCCGCGGUAAUACGAAGGGGGCUAGCGUUGCUCGGAAUCACUGGGCGUAAAGGGUGCGUAGGCGGGUUUUUAAGUCAGGGGUGAAAUCCUGGAGCUCAACUCCAGAACUGCCUUUGAUACUGAAGAUCUUGAGUCCGGGAGAGGUGAGUGGAACUGCGAGUGUAGAGGUGAAAUUCGUAGAUAUUCGCAAGAACACCAGUGGCGAAGGCGGCUCACUGGCCCGGUACUGACGCUGAGGCACGAAAGCGUGGGGAGCAAACAGGAUUAGAUACCCUGGUAGUCCACGCCGU